CACCGCUUGGUGAUGAUUUUACCGAUAGGACACGACUUAGUAUCGCGGGCGCUAUCACGCGCACGCGCAGAAAGGCCGUGAGGUAACAAGGAG
rnacentral:sRNA from 12 species